rnacentral:rRNA from 1 species
GAUGAACGCUGGCGGCGUGCUUAACACAUGCAAGUCGAGCGAGAUUAUUCUUCGGAAUAGUCUAGCGGCGGACGGGUGAGUAACACGUGGGCAACCUGCCUUGCAUAGGGGGAUAGCCUUCCGAAAGGAAGAUUAAUACCGCGUAAUGUUAUUGAAAGGCAUCUUUCGAUAAUCAAAGGAGCAAUCCGCUACAAGAUGGGCCCGCGGCGCAUUAGCUAGUUGGAGAGGUAACGGCUCACCAAGGCGACGAUGCGUAUCCGACCUGAGAGGGUGAUCGGCCACAUUGGGACUGAGACACGGCCCAGACUCCUACGGGAGGCAGCAGUGGGGAAUAUUGCACAAUGGGGGAAACCCUGAUGCAGCAACGCCGCGUGAGUGAUGACGGCCUUCGGGUUGUAAAGCUCUGUCUUUGGGGACGAUAAUGACGGUACCCAAGGAGGAAGUCACGGCUAACUACGUGCCAGCCGCCGCGGUAA